CCUACGGGAGGCAGCAGUGAGGAAUAUUGGACAAUGGGCGCAAGCCUGAUCCAGCCAUGCCGCGUGCAGGAAGAAGCAUCUAUGGUGUGUAAACUGCUUUUGUACAGGAAGAAACACUCCCUCGUGAGGGAGCUUGACGGUACUGUAAGGAUAAGGACCGGCUAACUCCGUGCCAGCAGCCGCGGUAAUACGGAGGGUCCGAGCGUUAUCCGGAAUCAUUGGGUUUAAAGGGUCCGUAGGCGGUUUAAUAAGUCAGUGGUGAAAUCUGGUCGCUCAACGAUCAAACGGCCAUUGAUACUGUUAGACUUGAAUUAUAAGGAAGUAACUAGAAUAUGUAGUGUAGCGGUGAAAUGCUUAGAUAUUACAUGGAAUACCAAUUGCGAAGGCAGGUUACUACUUAUGGAUUGACGCUGAUGGACGAAAGCGUGGGGAGCGAACAGGAUUAGAUACCCUGGUAGUCCACGCCGUAAACGAUGGAUACUAGCUGUUCGGAGCAAUCUGAGUGGCUAAGCGAAAGUGAUAAGUAUCCCACCUGGGGAGUACGUUCGCAAGAAUGAAACUCGAAAAGGAAUUGACGG
rnacentral:rRNA from 1 species